CUGGCCGGGUACAGGACCCAUUCUCCUGUGACCUCGGGCCCAGCUCUCAUGCCUGGCACAGCUUUUGACAUGGCUUUCUCACUAAGCUCAAUGUCUUCAGCUUGUGAUUCCAAGAGGAUGCCGGAGAAGGCCACUGCUGGGUUGUUAACUGGGCUUCUUCAAAGACCAUCGCAUCCCAGAGAGUAGGGAGACCAGUGAGAAAGAGCACAGGGCACCCGGGAGGUGACCUUUUGUCUGUCAAGGUUGCAAUCCCCUAUCCACAUGAUUUAUAGCACCAUGAGAUAAUUACAAUAGUGAUAUCAAAGAUCGCUGAAACAGACUGACAUCCUGAGCAACUACUCCAACGAGCCACAGUCCGGGAGCAUGCAUUCUGGAAUAUGCCCUGUGCUGGGUUGCCCAAGCCUUCAGCAUGGAUGAUGAAAAUACCAUCACCAGUGCACAAUGAAGCAAAGCGCUGUAAAACUGAGCAUGCCUGUCUGUGUCCGUCAGUCAAGGAAUGCAAAACGACAAAUCAGGUAACGAUGGACAGCAUGCCCGAAGAUGGGCCUGGAGGUUUCAACAGAACUGAGCAUUUUCUUUUGUCUGGAGUCGUGGGCAUAAAGGAACAAAGCUCCAUGGGGGUCACAUUUCGUGACACAGCAUCGCUUACUCAAUGCUGAGACAGAAUGCCGUGAUGUAAUGCUAUGUAUGACAGAAUACCAUGAUGCAAUUCCCUCACGUAAUACCCUCACCACAGGAAGGGUAGUGACGCUGUGAAAUAAUGGGAUAUGAUACUGCA